UACCUCCACUGGAUGUAUUUGGUGCGAUGGUCACAGGCUUUGAACUGUGACUGGUGACACUAGAGGGAAAAAAAGGCAUAAGACAUAAGUUUGUACCACCAUGAUGGAACCUUGUCUUUGAUGUUUGUUAUAUAAUUAUAAUAAAAAUAACCCAACCCAAGGUCCAACUUGAUUAAUUCUCCUAUAUAAUAAAAUUCUAAAGAACUUCUUUGGGGGACAACACCGAGAGAUUCCAUUUUUACCAUCUCUAUUUCUUCACAGAACUCUCUCCCCUCCAUUGGUUUAUACUUUGUAUCAACAAUUAGUACCGUGGACGUCGAUCGAACACGUGACCUUCAAAUAAUUUCAAAACCCGUACCCUUCGACGCCACUGACGGCCAUGGAUCAACAGCUUUCUACAAUUGAACCCGUUAUUAGUCUUUGCAUGAAACCAAACUGAGCCAUCGGACACUGGCUUCAUAUCAGUCUACCCAAAGCACACCGUAAAACACCACCAUGGUUCGACAAUCCCCUCUUUGCCGGAAACCAACAAAAUAACAGUUACUUUCCUCCAUUAACCACUGAGAAUCCCGUGGAGACUCUUCCUCAUCCACCCCCAAAACAAUGGCUUGUCUAAUUAGGGAUUAUUUUUGGAGGCUUAAGUGAUUCCUGCUUUUUGGAAAAUUUCCAUGCUCCGUACCUCACUUCAUUUUCCAGAUAAGUCUUACUCUCUCUUUUUAUAUAUAAGGAUGAAAUGCUGCAAUUUUGUGAAUUUACUGAAUUAAUCUCAUGCGCAGUCUUACAGGGGUUCUUUUAGUAUUCCAUUGUAUUUGAAUUGUGGUCUUAUGAUCAUGAUUUAUUAAAACCACAAUAAAUAUAGCUUUCUAAAUGCAGAAAAUUUCAGUUUUAGAGCUCAGUUACUCAAGCCUGGAAAAGUGCAUGACUUCAUGUUGCAAUUAAAAAAGGGGGGGUGACCCUUGUUAUAAUUAAUUAGGACUUGCAUGCCAUUUGGGUAGAAAGGUUGGAAUAGUGGCUAUUGCUGGCUCUCUGUCCCCUGUAUAAAACUUGACUUUUGCCAGUUCUUAUUUCUUCUGCAUGUACAGGUUUGUAUCUCAUUUCCCCCAUUCUAGAAAACUCACAAGUUGUUCUACUUCAAUUUCCUUCAUCCUUGUUUUCUUGCAACGCUUGUAACUAAUAUUCACAAUAUUUUUCCUUAAUUAUCUGUAUCUGGAUGAGUUAUGUAAUGAUUCUUAAAGCCCAUUGAUGAACAAUUUUGUCUAAUAAAAUCCAAAAUCAAGUUCUCCUUGAAAUCCCGGCGGGCUAAUUUAAUUAGAAAGGUUAAGAAGAACAAACAUCCAAGCUAGGAAUAAGCAGGAUGAAAGAAGCACUCGGCAACCAACUAAGUUCUUCAUACCUCUGGCUUCUAUGUGCAGUUUUUAUAUGCAAAUGAUCCUUGAAUUCUGAAGUUAGUUUGCACAUAUUCAUCAACAUUAUUUAUGGCAUCUUCGAUAGCAAUUCGCUUGAUUCAUCCAGGCAAACUAAAAUCCAUAACAUAGGAACAACAGUUGUAGGUGUUGAUAAGUUUAGCAACAAGUAUUAUGAGAAACUUGGGGACAUUCAAAAUGGUUUGUUUCGUUAUCCUUUUUUUAUAUAAUGUACAUGUUGAAAAUGCACCACCGGUUCCAAACAUUUCAUUGGAUAUUUAUAUUACGAGUGUCAUUUUUACGGUUUACCUGAUA